rnacentral:miRNA from 1 species
CGAUAUAUGAUGUCGAUGUG